rnacentral:rRNA from 1 species
AUUGAACGCUGGCGGCAUGCCUUACACAUGCAAGUCGAACGGCAGCACGGGAGCAAUCCCGGUGGCGAGUGGCGAACGGGUGAGUAAUACAUCGGAACGUGCCCAGUAGUGGGGGAUAACCCGGCGAAAGCCGGACUAAUACCGCAUACGACCUACGGGUGAAAGCAGGGGAUCGCGAAGACCUUGCGCUAUUGGAGCGGCCGAUGUCAGAUUAGCUUGUUGGUGGGGAAAAGCCUACCAAGGCAACGAUACUGUAGCUGGUCUGAGAGGACGACCAGCCACACUGGGACUGAGACACGGCCAGACUCCUACGGGAGCAGCAGUGGGAA